GAUGAAGAACGCAGCGAAAUGCGAUACGUAAUGUGAAUUGCAGAAUUCAGUGAAUCAUCGAGUCUUUGAACGCACAUUGCGCCCCCUGGUAUUCCGGGGGGCAUGCCUGUCCGAGCGUCAUUGCUGCCCUCAGCACGGCUUGUGUGUUGGGCCUCCGUCCUCCUCCCGGGGGACGGGCCCGAAAGGCAGCGGCGGCACCGCGUCCGGUCCUCGAGCGUAUGGGGCUUCGUCACCCGCUCUUGUAGGCCCGGCCGGCGCUUGCCGACACAUCAAUCUUUUUUCCAGGUUGACCUCGGAUCAGGUAGGGAUACCCGCUGAACUUAAGCAUAUCAAUAAGCGGAGGA
rnacentral:misc_RNA from 1 species